CUCCACAGUCUUGUUUUGGUUGUGACAUUAUUUUUUUUAAUGAGUUACUAUCAAUACGCUACACGUGUACGUUUCAUGUGCUAGUAACUGUUUCACCAAUAUUCUGAUACAGGAUGGUAUAUCCGCCAUUACUAUUUUCACAUCGUUUAUUUAUUAGUCUGUCAUGGAGUUGUAGAGUGAAUUAGACAGUAGUGAUAACAUUAUAAUGUCCACACAUCAGUGUUGUAAACACUUCUCCAAUUAAUUAUAUAAUUAUGUUUUCACACUGAGGGAAGUGGAGAGACUUGAUGUGGACUGUUAUCAACAGCUCUGUGGGAGAUCAUCACCUUGAAUAUUACAGAUGAGAUGAAGAACUGCAGCACCUGAUGUCCUCAGCAGCAACAUGGUGGAGAUCUGAUUUGAUACACUUUAGAUAAGAACCCAGUGUUUUAUAUUUCUGCUUUGCCAUAAGAGACAGAACAUGGUCAUCACAGCUGUGUCCUUCAGGCUCGUCUGUCCCUAAUAAAAUGAUAGGAAACAUGAAA